GGCCUGUGUUCACUUCUGACUUAGUCCUGCGCCACUGUCCUCAGCUCUGUGUCCCAGCCACACUGGCCCCCCUGUACUUCUGUGCCCAAUAGGUUUGCUCCAGCCUCAGGGCCUCGGCACUAGCUGUCCCCUCUGCCUGGAACGCUCUGCUCUGUACCCCUGUAUGCCUACCUAGUUAAAUCCUGAUCAUUCUACAGGGUACUUCCUCCGGGAAGCCUUCCUGGGUGUCUCCAGGCCAGGCCAGGGUCCCCCCGCAGUGUUGAGUGUCUGUGCCCAACACGAGCUUUUGCUGGUACUCACUGCUGUCUGCUGCCUUUGUCUUCCCCGUUGGGUUAAGCACUGUGUUUGUGAGCGGCACCCAGUGUAUCCCAUCCCUGUUGUGUCCCAGUACUUAGUGUGGGGCUGUGCAUACAGUAGGCACCAACUAAGUGCAUUUAAAACAAUGAUGAAAACAGAAGCACAGGUGGGUGGCAGGCUGGCUGGGUGGAUGGAAGAUGGGCCUCCAGCCAUGUUGGGGGAGGGGGUGGCUGGCUGGACUCGGCAUCUGUCCCCAGGAUGAAGACAAGCCUGAGGACGAGAUGGCCCAAAAGCGGGCCAGCCUGCUGGAGCGGCAGCAGCGGCGAGCAGAGGAGGCGCGGCGGCGCAAGCAGUGGCAGGAGGUGGAGAAGGAACAGCGGAGGGAGGAGGCCGCGAGGUGAGGCCGGGCUCCUUGGCCUGUCUGCCACCGCGGACCCCGUGAGUGGUUCUGAUGCCGAUUCCCUGUGAUCUGCAGGCUGGCCCAAGAGGAGGCCCCCGGCCCAGCCCCGCCUGUGUCCGCAGUCCCCGCAGCCCCAAUGGCGACCCCAGCCCCUGCUGCCCGGGCUCCAGCCGAGGAGGAGGUGGGCCCCCGGAAGGGGGACUUCACGCGGCAGGAGUACGAGCGCCGGGCCCAGCUGAAGCUGAUGGACGACCUCGAUAAGGUGCUGCGGCCCCGGGCUGCGGGGUCCGGGGGUCCAGGUCGGGGCGGGCGGAGGGCCACCCGGCCUCGCUCGGGUUGCUGUGACGACUCGGCCCUGGCACGAAGCCCAGCCCGCGGCCUGCUGGGCUCUCGGCUGAGCAAAAUCUAUUCCCAGUCCACCCUGUCACUGUCCACUGUGGCCAACGAGGCCCACAAUAACCUCGGGGUGAAGAGGCCCACGUCUCGGGCUCCCUCCCCGUCAGGUCUCAUGUCCCCAAGCCGCCUGCCUGGAAGCCGCGAACGGGACUGGGAAAAUGGCAGCAAUGCCUCCUCCCCAGCGUCAGUGCCCGAGUACACAGGUCCACGGCUGUACAAGGAGCCCAGCGCCAAGUCCAACAAGUUCAUCAUCCACAACGCCCUAUCACACUGCUGCCUGGCGGGCAAGGUGAACGAACCGCAGAAGAAUCGCAUUCUGGAGGAAAUUGAGAAAAGCAAGGCCAACCACUUCCUGAUCCUCUUUCGCGACUCGAGCUGCCAGUUCCGGGCGCUCUACACGCUGUCGGGGGAGACAGAGGAGCUAUCGCGGCUGGCAGGGUAUGGGCCCCGGACCGUCACGCCCGCCAUGGUGGAAGGUAUCUACAAGUACAACUCAGACCGCAAGCGCUUCACCCAGAUCCCCGCCAAGACCAUGUCCAUGAGCGUCGAUGCCUUCACCAUCCAGGGACACCUCUGGCAGGGCAAGAAACCCACUACUCCCAAGAAGGGCGGCGGCACCCCCAAAUAGCCCCACCCGGGCAGUCCACGGGCCGGGCCCUGUGUGCU
rnacentral:sRNA from 1 species